UCUUGAUCUCAGAUCAGGCAGGAUGACCCGCUGAACUUAAGCAUAUUAGUAAGCGGAGGAAAAGAAACUAACCAGGAUUCCCUUAGUAACGGCGAGUGAAGCGGGAAUAGCCCAAUCUGAAAAGCUAGUCUGCCCUGGAGCAGGUCUCGCAUUGUAGGUUGAUGAAGCGUUUCCUAAGUUAAACCUUUCAGUUAAAGUUCCUUGGAACAGGACAUCAAAGAGGGUGAUAAUCCCGUGAUUAACUGAAUGACAUACCAGUUUAACGACUAUGGAGCGUUUUCUUAGAGUCGGAAUGUUUGGGAUUGCAUUCCAAAAUGGGUGGUAAACUCCAUCUAAGGCUAAAUACUGGCGAGAGACCGAUAGCGAACAAGUACCGUGAGGGAAAGUUGAAAAGCACUCUGGAGAGAGAGUCAAACAGUACGUGAAAUUGCUAGCAGGGAAACGUUGGGCACCAGUACACGGCAAUCAAUGUUAAUGAUCAGUCGGUUUAUUGGCAAGUUAUAAUGCGGUGGUUAUACUUUGGAGAUUGUCCCAUUAGCGGCGACUCACGUAUUAUAAAUUGUUAAUUGACCGGUGCACUCUUUAACAGCCGGGUCAACAUCGGUUAAUGGCGUAUGUUACGCUCGGUUUCUAUACUAAAGCAGGUGGCCCAAACGUACCAUCGGUAUGUUUAACGACUUACCUUUGGACAUAUAAGUGACCUUGCAUCUAUGCCGUUGACCGAGGAUAAUCGAUUCGCGCGUUUCGGCGCAGGGCGUAUUAGUGAUGUUAAAUCUACACGUGUCAUUAAACAGCUUGCUGAUUAAUGGUCACUGUGCUAAUGCCACGUUGUAUAGCAGAGGUAGUUGCAUCGCUAAUACAAGCCACUAGCGAGUCUAUGAAUGUUGACGAAAUGGUAUUCAACGACCCGUCUUGAAACACGGACCAAGGAGUCUAACAUGUCUGCGAGUGUUUGGGUGGAAAACCCUUACGCGGAAUGAAAGUGAAGAGGCAAGUUUCGCGCUUGCCCACUGGUAGGAAUCGAAGCGUUACGGCGCGACGACGCACUACCGACCGA
rnacentral:rRNA from 1 species